rnacentral:rRNA from 1 species
UACGUAGGGUGCAAGCGUUAAUCGGAAUUACUGGGCGUAAAGCGUGCGCAGGCGGUUCGGAAAGAAAGAUGUGAAAUCCCAGGGCUUAACCUUGGAACUGCAUUUUUAACUGCCGGGCUAGAGUAUGUCAGAGGGGGGUAGAAUUCCACGUGUAGCAGUGAAAUGCGUAGAGAUGUGGAGGAAUACCGAUGGCGAAGGCAGCCCCCUGGGUCGAUACUGACGCUCAUGCACGAAAGCGUGGGGAGCAAACAGG